rnacentral:lncRNA from 1 species
CUCCCUUGAUUCUUGGAUCUUAAGGAUGGGAAAUUGGAGGUCAUGGCACAAUUCAGCAGCAAGAGUAUUAGUGCAGCCCAGGUCCUGUGGUUUGGGCCAGGCAUCUCUCCAUUGCCAGAGGUUGCCUUCAGAAGUCUGAAUGGGACACAUAGCCCAUUUUCAGGCCUUGAGAAUUCCUGUGAGAAUUUCAAGCAAGCUUUUGUUUCAACAGCUCACAUGUGCAAGGGCCACCAAGAGUUUAGUAAUGUAAAUAGAUAACAUGUCAUCAUUUAGCCAAGGAAUCACAUUAUGAGCAUAUUCAAACCACAUUCAAAAGGACACCAGAUUUCCUUGAAACAUCUGUGGAUAAAGGAAGAAAAAUCAUGGUGGAUGUGUAGCCAGCCUCCAACAUGGGCUCCAAUGAUUCCUGCCUCUUGGUAUUCAAGUCCUUGUGCAGUUUCCUCCUACAAUGUAUCAUAAUUGGUCUUUGUGACCAAGAGAAUACAGCAGAAGUGAUGGCAUGUCACUUCUGAAGCUAGGUCAUAAAAGGUACUGUGGCUUUGUGGUAUAAUAAGAAAGACAUUCUAUCUUUGUCCAUAGUGCCUGGCACAGAACUCCUGUUGAGGAACCCCUGUUCCCUCAAACCCCUGGAACACCACACAGAGAACUAUCUCCAGGCCUGGACUUCCCCUGACUUGGAGACAGCCUUAUUCUCAGAUCUCUCUCUCUUUUAAAAUGGACUAUCCUCUUUACAACCCAGAGAGCCCCAUCCAAAUAUCACUCAUUGUGGAAGAAAUCUGAUGCCAUGUCUUGAGGACACUCAAGUGGCCUAUGGAGAGGCGAACAUAAAGACAAGAAACCCAAUCUCAAGCACUAUGAGACUCCCUCCUCUCCAUCUCCAAGGGUCAGGCCAUGGUCUUAGUCAUUGCCAAGAGCAUCACAGAAGGCCUCUGCCUCCGGUUCCUACCUGGGCCCUUUCUAUGCUCGUUAACUGAUGCUGCAGCCUGACUUCUUCAAGACUAAGUUGGGCUGUAUGCUUGCAGUCAUGGGAGGAAAACAAAAGAGGCAUGAGCUGGACUUGUGGAAUACAUACAGAAGAUGCCUCCAAUUACUGAGAGGUUAAGAAGAACAUUAUAUUGCCUCACAAAUCCUGUUUGUUACUGUAUAGAAUUGUAAGAAUUAUGGAAGAAACUGAAGGAAUUACUCCUCUAAAGCAGAUACUCCUGGAAAGUUACACAACUUGGCUAAUACUCUCCUGCUAGAGUUGGACAGGAAGACCUUACCAAAGCUGAAAGAUAAGAGAAACAUUUGUUUGGGCUGAGGCAGCUGUUUCAUGAAAUGCAACAUCAUAUCUCAUUUUUCUUCAUGAACUUCUCUCAUUUAACAAUUAGGCUGGAAGAACACACAUUACCAAUAGGUUCAGUCGUAUAACACUCAGAACCUGGAAAUAAUGAGUUGGAAGUUUCAGAUCCUACAAAAUAAAUCAGUUACUCCAUCAAUUCUAUAAUAUAAGGCAAAGAAUCUGAAAAUUGAAGGAAGAUAUUUUGAACAACACUGUGCAAAAGCUAUUGCUGAGUUAGGUAUUCAGUUAAGCCAAACACCACGCCUGGUUCUCAGUUUGUUUUGCAAAAGCAUUUAUUCUACAUUUUAAAUAUGCACAUGUUUCAACUUGGGCUAGAAAGACUUAACUAAAAAUAACACCACUAUCACCAAGUGAUGCUAUGGUUGACCGAUACUCCAGGAUUUGAAAAAAAAAUUCCCCAAAUGGUACAAAUUCCCCAAAUGCUACAAAUUCCCUAGGAACUGGAAGCUUUUCCUCUCCUUAAGGUGAAAGACUGCUUCUCCUCUUGGUGUUUUGCCAUUAAAAAAAGAAAGUAUUUAGCAAACAACUAGCAGAUCCAUCAAAAGGUUAGGAUUCUUUUUAUUUUAGUGCUCUUUCUUAAUGGGCAAAAUUGAUUGAUUAGUUCACCUGGAAUGUUCUUAGCCUUAGGGCAGAAACAGAGCUUUGUAUGCAUUAGUGGACUGGGUUUAUAAAAGAAAAAAGUCCACAUUCAAGAAUACAGAGAAUUUCAAAAAUACAAGAAAAUAGAAAAAAGAAAAACAAGGUCUGGAAGCAUAUUAAAAUUCUUGUAUUCAUUAAAAAUCAAAUGGCUGUGUUUUCAGUUGUAUUGAGUUAUCAUAUGUGCACUGGUUCUUU